rnacentral:ncRNA from 1 species
UUUGGACUCUUGACCCAAUUUGUCUUGUAUUUUUGACAUCUCUAACGAGACCUCAAGUCAGGCGGGGCUACCCACUAAGUUAAAGCAUAUCAAUAAGCGGAGGAAAAUAAACUAACAAGGAUUUCCUUAGUAAUAGCGAGCAAACCGAGAAGAGCCCACCAUGAAAAUCGAUUGUCUUUGGCAUCUGAAUUAUAGUUUAGAGAAGCGUCCUCAGUGGCAGACCGGGCCCAAGUCUCCUGGAAGGGGGCGCCAGAGAGGGUGAGAGCCCCGUCGUGCCCGGACCCUGUCGCACCACGAGGCGUUGUUGAUGAGUCAGGUUGUUUGGGAUUGUAUCCCCAAUCAGGUAGUAAAUUUUGUUCAAGGCUAAACAUUGGCGAGAGACCGAUAGCAAACAAGUACCGCAAGGGAUAAAAAGAAAGAAC